rnacentral:rRNA from 1 species
UACGUAGGUGGCAAGCGUUGUCCGGAAUUACUGGGCGUAAAGGGUGCGUAGGCGGUCUUUCAAGUCAGGAGUGAAAGGAUACGGCUCAACCGUAGUAAGCUCUUGAAACUGUAAGACUUGAGUGCAGGAGAGGAGAGUGGAAUUCCUAGUGUAGCGGUGAAAUGCGUAGAUAUUAGGAGGAACACCAGUUGCGAAGGCGGCUCUCUGGACUGUAACUGACGCUGAGGCACGAAAGCGUGGGGAGCAAACAGGAUUAGAUACCCUGGUA